GUUCCUGGCUCAGGACGAACGCUGGCGGCGUGCCUAACACAUGCAAGUCGAACGGAGAUAUGUUUUGGAAGGGCUUCGGUCUGGAAGAGAUAUAUUUUAGUGGCGGACGGGUGAGUAACGCGUGGGCAAUCUGCCUUGUAGAAAGGGAUAACAGGCCGAAAGGCUUGCUAAUACCGGAUGAGCUUGUCUAAUCGCAUGAUAAGACAAGGAAAGGGGAAACCCGCUACAAGAUGAGCCUGCGUCCCAUUAG
rnacentral:rRNA from 1 species